GCAUGAGGAGGAGCCACAGACACUGCUCGGACCAGCAGCAACAUGGAGAGGCUUGAGACUUCGAGUUGGGUUUCAGCAGAAGAAGAAGAGAAGGUACAUGUGUUUGAAUGAUCUACUGGGUUUUUUUUUUCUUUUUUUUCUCUUUCUAAUGGAACGAUUUACUAGCUUUGGUGGUGAUGGAGAUGGAGUUACAAGCCGAUACAUGUGUUAUUUUUCUGAUGCAUAACCGUAACUUCGAAAAAUCAUAAGUAAUUGUAGAAAAAUCCUUCAUAGACUAGCAUAGCGCAUAUCACAUACUCUAGUUAACAUUAAUCGAUCAGAAGCUUGAAUCAACUAUGCUUUAGUGUGGUGUGGUGUCAAAAGCAGUUGUCCAAUCCAGUCCUGAUGGUAUUGAUAUUUUCUUUUCCUAUUAUCUUUAGUCAAUCUAUUGCCUGCUUCGGCUUUUGUCAAUCUUGGUGCUCAUUGUGAAAAGAAGUAUUUGCUUAUGUGAUUCAUCUGAUCAUCUCAUCUCUAUGAACUGAUGUAAUUGCGUUGUACUUUUCAAUAAUGCUUUUUGUCUACUUAGUAUAGUGUAAAUUGAGAAUGAGAGAGCUAGUGAUAGCCGAAUAUGCAAGAACCAUAUGGUAUCAUGAACUGUCUUAAGCACAUCGACACCAGCUUAAUUUCUUGCCCUGGAAAUUAUAAUGGUGUCAUGAUAUAUACUUUCAUUAUAACUAAUAUUAAGCUGGCCUAAAGAUAUUCAUAUAUUUUUGUUGAUCGAGUAUUUAUAUAUACUGUACAGUGGAGACUAAAUUCUUGAUAACACAUUAAUACUGAUGGAUAUAAUUUCAAGUAGAUUGUUUACUACAUAUCAAGUCAUUAACCUUUGAUGACAUUAGCGAGUGAAGAGAUAAGGAUGGUGCUUUGGUGUUGGCGGUGGAUGACAGAAGAAAAGAAAGAGAAAGGAGAAGGGAAAAGAGAGAUGAUCGUACUAGAGCUCGUCUUUCAAAUGGAAUUUCUAUAAACUACAAGAUUUCAAAAAGUGAGGCUCGGGGAGGUUUGAUGAGGCUUAUAGUCGGUGGUGGAUAGGCUACCGAAAGUUCUGAAUCAAAAGGUUCUGUUGUUGUGGGUGUAAGAACUCUUAGUGAGGCAGGUCGUGUUGGCAACUUUUCAAGAGAGCAGGUAUGGCAGUUUACUUGUAUUUGAUUUGUGAACGAAUUUGUCCAAUACUGUUCAAUACAGGAGGAGAUUCUUUCCUCUUCAAUAAAGCAUUAUAUUGUAUUUUGAGAUAGGUUCUUGUUAAAUGAAUUAACUAUCAAAAAGUGUAAUCAUGUGAAAUAUGUUUCACAUCUCACAAGUAAUUGCUAAAUAGCUUAGUCCUGACCUGUUAAUUGUGAGCCGUUUUACAAUGUUAUCCAUACUGCCUCAGUUGGUCUCACUGUUUUGGGCCAAGGAGUAGUCUUUGCUUUGGGUUUAGGCUUUAGAGUCUUGUUGUUGUGUUUUGCGUUGAUGAACGCCUUUCUUUUGGUAAACAAACUUGUGUUUCUUAUAGG